CGGUGAGGUAGAGGUCGCGAUUGCGAUGAGUACACCGGAGGAGGCGCUUAGAAGCCGCCAGAGAAUCCGGAUGGAAAGGCGCCGUCGCCGAAGCUUAUUAGCCGGCUUCUAAGGCUGUAGGCUGGGGCUGUUGCCGAAAGGGACAGAACUGUCACGAUGGUUCCCGUCACCCGGGGAACUUCGUGUUGAGCUAUCUUCAUG
rnacentral:ncRNA from 1 species